AACGAACGCUGGCGGCAGGCUUAACACAUGCAAGUCGAGCGCCCCGCAAGGGGAGCGGCAGACGGGUGAGUAACGCGUGGGAACGUACCCUUUACUACGGAAUAACGCAGGGAAACUUGUGCUAAUACCGUAUGUGCCCUUUGGGGGAAAGAUUUAUCGGUAAAGGAUCGGCCCGCGUUGGAUUAGCUAGUUGGUGGGGUAAAGGCCUACCAAGGCGACGAUCCAUAGCUGGUCUGAGAGGAUGAUCAGCCACAUUGGGACUGAGACACGGCCCAAACUCCUACGGGAGGCAGCAGUGGGGAAUAUUGGACAAUGGGCGCAAGCCUGAUCCAGCCAUGCCGCGUGAGUGAUGAAGGCCUUAGGGUUGUAAAGCUCCUUCACCGGGGAAGAUAAUGACGGUACCCGGAGAAGAAGCCCCGGCUAACUUCGUGCCAGCCGCCGCCGUAA
rnacentral:rRNA from 1 species